rnacentral:tRNA from 1 species
GUGCCCGUAGUUCAGUUGGUUAGAGCGCCGGAUUGUGGUUCCGGAGGUCGUGGGUUCAACCCCCAUCGGGCACC